AGCGAACGCUGGCGGCAGGCCUAACACAUGCAAGUCGAGCGGCCGUAGCAAUACGGCAGCGGCAGACGGGAUAGUAACACGUGGGAACGCGCCCUUCGGUUCGGAAUAACUCAGGGAAACUUGAGCUAAUACCGGAUACGCCCUUACGGGAAAGAUUAUCGCCGAGAGAUUGGCCCGCGUCUGAUUAGCUAGUUGGUGUGGUAAAAGACGCACCAAGGCGACGAUCAGUAGCAGUCUGAGAGGAUGAUCAGCCACAUUGGGACUGAGACACGGCCCAAACUCCUACGGGAGGCAGCAGUGGGGAAUAUUGGACAAUGGGCACAAGCCUGAUCCAACCAUGCCGCGUGAGUGAUGAAGG
rnacentral:rRNA from 1 species